rnacentral:misc_RNA from 1 species
AAAUUUUGCAAGCAUGCAUUGGCAACAGUUUCAUGAUUUUAUCAUGUACUGGUUGCCAUCUUGCCAUGCUGUGGCUUGGUUUCGGGUUGCCUGAACGGUUGCACUGCUGGCUAGCGGCACGAUGCCUUAACGACGAAAAUUUUGCCUAACGGCAUGGCAUGUUUCUGAGAAAUGUUGGCUAUAAGCCAUCCUGUGGCUUGAUUUUGGGUUUUGUUUGAACGGGGGCAAUGUUUGGUAGCGGCACGAUGCCUGAAUGGCGUAAAUGAUGCCUAGCGGCAGCAAAACAUGCUUGUGUGUCCGAGCGGUGGAUGGCUUUGUUUUUCAAAAUUGGCACUUCAAUGCAAUGCGCAACUGUUUCAUGACUUCAUCAAGUUCUAGUUGCCUUCUUCUCAUGUUGUGGAAUGGUGUGCUAUGGGUUGCUUGAUCGAUCAAAAUGGUGGUUAGCUAUUGGAUGGUCUGAUGGUGUAUAAUAUUGUUUUUUGUUGCCAGUUGCCUUGGCUAUGGUUUGCCAAAUUGUUUGGAAAGUCGGCUAAUGGUGUCAUCGCCACUUACGCUAUGCCGUUCAGAGAAGCCGUCCACCGUUGCUUGUCCGGUGCCGUCGAGAACAAUAAUCAUCGUAUUUGCCAAAAAACCCCCACCCCUGCAUCCGCUAUGCCGUUUAUCUCCGGAAUGUGUACUGAUCCCGGUGGCGGCCGUGCGGCGACGGGUCGGGGGGGGUGCUUGGGCCGGUGCGGGCUGCGCGGCUGAUUUAUUUAUAUAAAUCACGACGCGCGCGCGCGCCGCGCCCAAGUGCCCCAAGUGCCAAGAUAAGCGACCCAAGCGACCCAAGCGCCAGAUCCCAAGAUCUCGAUGUAUUCGUCGAAUGUUCCUCCUCGUCUUCAAUUAUUCGUGCCUCGCGGGUUCUUUUCAUCCCCAUCCUUACCUUGAUCCUUUGGCUUGAUUGAUUUCGGAUUGUUCAUACUCUCCGUUACAAGUUAAUGCUAUUGGGCUGGUUGGUGUGGCUAUGCUAGAGACCGUUUGCGGCACAUGAGUUGUAAUGGGCUUUGUUUUUAUUGGCAUGUUUUUGCUUUGUGCGCGGAACUGUCAGUGUAAUAGUCCUCUCACUCUCUCGCUCCUAAUGAAAUAUUUGAGAAACAUCGGAGCUUUAUAUGAGUUGCUUGCGACGUGAAACCCCUAUCAAGGUUGGCAUUAACUUUUGACAAUGCCUCCAUGGUUGGUCUACAUGCCCUUAUUAGAGGCAUGGAGAGUGCUUGCGUAGAAACAGAUCCUUCCACCGCUUGUUUCGUAGAUUGUCUCUUGGCAAUCCCUCGAUUCUUUUGCCCCUGGACGUAGGAUCUCAUCAAUUUGUUGCAAAUGUGGCUUCUUUAAAACGUGUCUUGGUUCCCUAUGGAACCAAGCUUCGGAUCGGCUAAUACAAGGCUUGCUGGUUGUGCCUUUGUCUCCUCUGUGCGACUUUGUUUCUUUCUCCUCUUUCCAUGCGGAUGGAUGGUUGUGGGUGAGAACAUUGUUGUGUUGAGGUCGAGC